rnacentral:rRNA from 1 species
CCUACGGGAGGCAGCAGUGAGGAAUAUUGCGCAAUGGAGGACACUCUGACGCAGCCACGCCGCGUGCAGGAAGAAGGUUCUAUGAAUCGUAAACUGCUUUUAUUCGGGAAGAACGGCCGGCUUUUGAGCUGGUGUGACGGUACCGAAUGAAUAAGCACCGGCUAACUCCGUGCCAGCAGCCGCGGUAAU